ACGAAGGGGGCUAGCGUUGUUCGGAAUCACUGGGCGUAAAGGGCGCGUAGGCGGCGCGACAAGUCAGGCGUGGAAGCCCCGGGCUCAACCCGGGAAUUGCGCUUGAUACUGUCGUGCUUGAGGCCGGGAGAGGAUGGCGGAAUUCCCAGUGUAGAGAUGAAAUUCGUAGAUAUUGGGAAGAACACCGGUGGCGAAGGCGGCCAUCUGGACCGGUUCUGACGCUGAGGCGCGAAAGCGUGGGGAGCAAACAGGA
rnacentral:rRNA from 1 species